rnacentral:rRNA from 1 species
GACGAACGCUGGCGGCGUGCUUAACACAUGCAAGUCGAACGCAGUGGAGAACGGGUGAGUAACGCGUAAUCAACCUGCCCUUCAGAGGGUGACAACAGUUGGAAACGACUGCUAAUACCCCAUACUGAAGGAGGGGAUUGCGUCUGAUUAGCUAGUUGGAGGGGUAACGGCCUACCAAGGCCAUGAUCAGUAGGCGGGCUGGGAGGAGGGACGGCCACAAUGGGACGGGGGCACGGCCCAGACGCCUACGGGAGGCAGCAGUGGGGGAUCUUCCGCAAUGGACGAAAGGCUGACGCGGGAACGCCGCGUUAGGUAAGGCGACCUUCGGGUUGUAAAGCUCUGUUAAUCGGGACGCGGUACCGGAAUAGAAAGCAACGGCUAACUACGUGCCAGCAGCCGCGGUAAUAC